AAAGCGUGCGCAGGCGGUUAUAUAAGACAGAUGUGAAAUCCCCGGGCUCAACCUGGGAACUGCAUUUGUGACUGUAUAGCUAGAGUACGGUAGAGGGGGAUGGAAUUCCGCGUGUAGCAGUGAAAUGCGUAGAUAUGCGGAGGAACACCGAUGGCGAAGGCAAUCCCCUGGACCUGUACUGACGCUCAUGCACGAAAGCGUGGGGAGCAAACAGGAUUAGAUACCCUGGU
rnacentral:rRNA from 1 species